UCUGAUUCAUUCAGCAGAUAUUUAUGGAGCACCUUGAUAAGCCAGACUCUGCCUCAGCUAUGGCAUCAGUGAUAAACAAAGCCAAUAAAUUCCCUAUCUUCAAAGCACCGACAUUGUAAUCAGCAAAACAAAUGAAGCCCAGAAGCAAUGGAGUCAACAGAUCAUGAAUUGAAACCUCUGAAACAUGUAUUCAGAAUGGAGGCAUUCAUGGCGGACAUUGCAGUAAAUUGCUGAUAUUCUACCAUUGUGCCUGCUGGGUGCUUGUUGGCUGAUCAAUAUCAUGCUGAAUCCCUCCACCUUUUAUGGCUCCAAUAAAGACUAUCUAGUUAGAUGACCCAAGGCUAAGAGAUAACUAUGAGGACCUUUUAUGAAGAUCUACAAAAGGUGAUCUAAAAUC